CAGCAGCUCGCAGACAGCCCCACCAGUGCCUGGCUGCCGCGGGCAGGGGAAAUUGGACUCACAUUGGCUCUUGGAGCACAAACAUGAAGCAACUUCCCCACGGACGGAUCAAAAUCAGCCCCAUGCCGGGCUAGCACAGUGGAGAGGCAGCGAGGGACCGACGCUCGGGGCAGCCACGGGAGCGCUGGAUGUCAGCAAGGCCCAGCGCUGAGCCUAGAAUGGACUCGAGCCAGGAGUUCUGGGGUGUCUGGCUCAACUCACUGUGUGACCUUGUGCAAGGCACGUGCCCCUUGUGUGCCUCAGUUUCCCCCACGCAAGAAGGUUAACACCUAGCGCACCCCAUGAGGGAGUUGUGAGGCUCAGCUCAUUGGUGCGGGUAAGGUGCUUUGAGAUCCUCUGGCGGAAAGUGCUUGAGCCAGGUGAAGCGUGAGACAAAGUAAAAGCCUUUCACCCUAUACAGGGGGAUCCACUGAUUCGUGUUUCAGCUGCUGUGCGUCUCUUGAGCCUCCUUCCACGAGAAUACCGCACGCUCACCGGGGAUAUGUGUACGUGGAGCUGGGGGUGUUUCCCGGGUCAAGGAGACGUACCCACAUGAGCUCUGAUCGGGACAAAAUGAACAAGGAAAUGAAUCCUCCCAAGAUGCCAAAUGGCAGAUUGAAAGGCUGUGCCGGCUUUGCUCAGAGAAUGGAAACACCAGAGGGCCCUGUUCAGAGGUGCUGGACCUGCUGUUUGAAUUGCUCAGGGGGGCAGAUAUGCGUUUUGGAGGCCUCGCUAGAAAUGGAGGGGCACCAUCAGCUGUGCUGCCCAUUGCAGUGCAGUAGGACUUGGGGACGUGAUAACUCCUGGUGCUCAGAGUCGAUGUAAAAGGAACAGAGUGAAGACAUGUCCUCUCAGGGCCCUGCUGAAGGAGGCUGAAUCAGUGUAACCUUUAUUUCUUUUUCCAUAACGCCAGGGCCCUGCACUGCUUGCACUCAGCGACCCAGAGAGCUAUUGCGCCAGUUUGCAUUUCAAUAGACGCCGCUACCACCCCUCCAUCUCCUUCAAUCAUGCUGAAAACCAUCUGUCCCCCACAGCGCAGGACUGACAAGCCCUCCACAUUAUUGACUGAGCACCCUCAGCAUUCUCCCUGCAUUGUACAAAUAGGGAAUGGUAUUUCCCCCUGCUCCUAGGACCUGAUUUUCUAGCAAGGACACACAACGCAUUCCAGGUACAUAAUACACCCUCUGAGCACAGGAAGGUCACUCUCAAGGCAGUGCCAGCGCUCUUUGCAUUGGCAAAUGACACUGGUAGCCAUGCCAAUUAGCUGUGCCAAUUAGUGUCACAGCAAAGAAAAGGCAGUCGUUUGACUUUAUGACUCACCUGACAAGGUAACAG
rnacentral:lncRNA from 1 species